AACGCACAUUGCGCCCCUUGGUAUUCCAUGGGGCAUGCCUGUUCGAGCGUCAUUUGUACCUUCAAGCUCUGCUUGGUGUUGGGUGUUUGUCCUUUCCCUGCGAUUGGACUCGCCUUAAAGUCAUUGGCAGCCAGUGUUUUGGUUUUGAAGCGCAGCACAAGUCGCGAUUCAAGCCGGUAGCACCAGCUUCCAUCAAGCCUUUUUUAUCACUUUUGACCUCGGAUCAGGUAGGGAUACCCGCUGAACUUAA
rnacentral:misc_RNA from 1 species